GAGGGUGUGUCUUCUAACCUGCUAUGAAAGUGGUUGUUUUAAAUUCUGAUUUUCUGAUUCCUACAACGAUGGCCUGAGACAAAAAGCGAACUAUAUGUUUAUAUUUAGUCUAACCCUAACCGUAGCUCUGUAGGAUGGUUUAUGCUGCACUAUGUUGCAGGUCUUUCGGGUUGUGAAGAUGUGGUCUCCUGAGUGUGAGUCUGCCCUAAGAGACUGCUUCAAUAUGACUGUGUGGAUUGAGCUCUGUGAUCCACAUGUAUCACGGACUGUAUUUGUCAGGAAGUGCAGGUAUUGGACCCACAUAGACAGCGCGGACAGUUGGUGGUUUUAGUGAUGACAGGUUUUAUUUGAAGACAAGAUAAGCAGGGUUAUUUACAGAAGAUCUCAGGCGUGAGUACAAGGGAACAGGUAAACUCAGAUCCAGGGACAGGCAAAGUUUCGACAUCGAGUGAGCAUGGCAGAAGUACAGGCAGGAAACAGGCUUAUCUCUUGGUUGGACGGUCAGGUAAGUUACCGGGAUUUUACAGACAGGGAGCAGGCAGCAGUCAGGAGUCGGGUUCAGAAACAUGAUCAAGCCAAUGGUAAGCUAUGCGAGAGUGCUGGAAAGUGUUGUGUACACGCAACGAUCUGGCAACUGGCUUGGGUGAGUAAUGGUGCUUAUAUACUGAUGACUGAUUACUAAUGAUAGGCAGGUGUGCGUAAUGAGAGCCGGGAGUGACAGGAAACAGCUGUGACAUGAACAAAACAGGAAGUCCUUCAAAAUAAAACAGGAAGCUGGAGCAAAACAUGACAACAUGAGUGAAAACAAAGUCCUUUCAACCGAAUCCACCACCGUCGAGUCACACAAGCAGGAUGGGCAGAGGGAGGACCGGAGAACUGAGUGCGAUGAGGGUAAAUCCGGAUCUGGACUCCUUUCCCACCAUCAGCAGAAGAACCGAGGGAGAAGAAGCGCCUGUCCAACAACCAGAACAGGGUGGAAGCUCCACAGCAGCUGGAGGACACAGACCACAGCAUGGAGGCCUCACAGACUCCACAACGUCUGCAGCCAUCACGUUCUGGGCUCAUCAGAUGAACCAGCUACUACAAGCGUGUGUGUCUGA
rnacentral:lncRNA from 1 species